GUGUCAGCCGCCGCGGUAAUACGUAGGUGGCAAGCGUUGUCCGGAUUUAUUGGGCGUAAAGCAUGCGCAGGCGGUUACUUAAGUCUGAUGUGAAAUCCCCCGGCUUAACCGUGGAGGGUCAUUGCAAACUGGAUGACUUGAGUGCAGGAGAGGAAAGUAGAAUUCCUAGUGUAGCGGUGAAAUGCGUAGAGAUUUGGAGGAACACCAGUGGCGAAGGCGGCUUUCUGGUCUGAAACUGACGCUGAGGCGCGAAAGCAUGGGGAGCAAACAGGAGUAGAUACCCUGGUAGUCCAUGCCGUAAACGAUGAGUGCUAAGUGUUAGGGGGUU
rnacentral:rRNA from 1 species